rnacentral:lncRNA from 1 species
UGCACUUCUUAUAGGCAUGGUUUCUAUAUGCAACUUGUUACAUGAAUAUUGGGUCCUAUAGGCAAGAUUUCUAAUGAUUUUCAAUAUGGUUAAGCUAAACCUUAUAGGCAUGGUAUCUAGGUUGGUUUGAGCAUAACUAAACGUUAAAACCCUAUAGGCAUGAUAUCUAGGUUUAUUAUAGCAUAAUUAAACAUUAAAACAUAUAGUCAUGGUAUCUAGGUUGAUUAUAGCAUAAUUAGACGUUAAAACCUAUAGCCAUGGCAUCUAGACUUUAUUGAUGCAAGAAAGUAAAGCCCCUCCCACACCCUUAUACUAUAUUCUCUAAAAGUCUUUUAUACUAAUUAUUACCGAGCCAGAAAAGAAGAAAGAAGUAUAAAAUACAUUAAAACCAACAACUAGAUUUGAGAAGCCUAAUUCAAUCUUAACGUCCAAUAACAUGUGAUUAACCAACUUCCGGAAUCUAGAUUUCGAAAUCCUUCUCUUAUCCAAAGUGUUUCAAAGUUCCAAGGAAUCUCAAGGAUUCCCAGCAUCUUCCACUUAGGAUAUCAUUAGAAUUAGAAUAGUGCAGUUGGAAUAGCCAGCCUUCAAGCAUCUAAGUUCAGAGGGAACUCUAGGGUCCCAAAGCAUUGCUUACCUUAGAGGGGCAGAACUUAAUAGCUAAGAGUGAGUGCAAAGUGAUUGGGGAACCAUAUUAAAUGGUGGUCAUGCCCAGACAUAGGUGUAGACUGGCACACCCCUGACCAUUUGUUGAUCCAAACAAGUUAAGAGCAGAACAUAUGGGUCAGACCUGAGUCUAAAUGAUGAUUAGAACACCACCAGACCCAAGUCAGGGCUCAGCACAAAAAGGGGAGAAGGGAAGAUGGAAUUAAUUUGAGAAAUGGGUUCAAAAGAACCUAGUUCAAAGUCAUGGCAGUAAAAACAGAGUGCUGCCAUUGCUAGAACUGUACUCUCAGACAAAGGGGUAAAGGAAAGUGAUUCACAUAAGAAAAGCGUUUACAGUAACACAAGGAAAUAAAGCAUAAUAGACUAGGAUGCAGAAACAUAAGGUAACAAAGCAUAACAGACUAGGAAGUAGAUACAUAGUGCAAGAAAUUAUAACAGACUAGGAAAUACAAUAAACAUAUAGUGAAGGAGGCAUCAUUUAACUAAGAAUAACAUACCAGUCACAAACACUAGAAAAACUGAACAACAAGAGCAAAAUAAAUAGCCAAAAGUCAGCAGGAGAAAACUCAAUUCUUCAGCAAAUAAAAGCUCUCAUAUAUAAAGCACACAAAUGAGUCAAACAAGAAAGAAAAGACUGCAUAAAAAUUUUUUAAAAUCAUAGGCAAAAAAAGGGCCAAUUCAGUUUACAGACUCUGCAUGAGUUUGAGAGAGCUCAGGGCUCUAAAAUAGAACCCUAGUCUAAACACAAGAACAGAACUCGCCAAACCCCCCAAAACCUAGGGUUUCCAUUCGAGUAGGAUGUAGAGGUGAGAAGGCAAGCCAUUAAAAUAGACUAAGAGGUCUCUUUCAGAGUCUCAUGAGAAAGCACACAAAUACAAUAGCAAGUUCGAAGCAACAGAGUGAAAAGUCAUAAAG